CAGAUAGAGGUGCAGUUGAAAAGAGUAACACGGUCUGACCCCCGAAAGGUCAAAGCAGCCCAUGCCCACAGACCGAUGCGAAAGGUAAAACUGCCGAAGCCUGCGGCGCGGGAACCCGCUUGCUGACUGAUGGUUCAACAGAUCAUCGGUUGUCAUCAUGCCUUUAUGAUGGAGUGCUAUCGG
rnacentral:ncRNA from 1 species